rnacentral:rRNA from 1 species
UACGUAGGGUGCAAGCGUUAAUCGGAAUUACUGGGCGUAAAGCGUGCGCAGGCGGUUAUGUAAGACAGGUGUGAAAUCCCAGGGCUUAACCUUGGAACUGCAUUUGUGACUGCAUAGCUAGAGUACGGUAGAGGGGGAUGGAAUUCCGCGUGUAGCAGUGAAAUGCGUAGAUAUGCGGAGGAACACCGAUGGCGAAGGCAAUCCCCUGGACCUGUACUGACGCUCAUGCACGAAAGCUAGGGGAGCGAACAGG